rnacentral:tRNA from 2 species
GCCCGAGUGGCGGAAUUGGUAGACGCUGCGGACUUAAAAUCCGUUUUCCAUUGGAAGUGAGGGUUCAAGUCCCUCCUCGGGCA